GUUUCAUCGGUUCUGGGCACCAAAUUGCCGAGGGGACUUCCACAACUUGUAUUGCUUGAUUUCCCUGUCUGUGACUACAAUCUUGUCCUAGGUUGGCGACCAUGAUGUCAACCAUUUACAAAUUCAACAGAAUUCAUCAUCACCACAAGACCUUGUUAAUGAUUCUAUGCCAAGGGUGAGGGAAACCAGGGAUCUUACGAGUGAAUCUGUUUCAAGACCGAACAGCAGCGGACUAGAACUGAACACCCACACCUAGCUCGCUCAAAAAGAAUACGUACUUCUUCCAUCAAGGCUGCUUCCAAAGUAGUUUCAAAGACUUCAACAUAUCCCAACAAGCGGAAUGUUGCAUAUGGUACUAUUCGGAGUAUUGAUCCAAGAACUAAGGCUGGUGGUAUUGAGUUAGGUGCUGAAUUUGCCCUUGUGCAUAGAUCAACCUAUUCUUGAUAAUGAGGACUUGGUAAGGGAAGUUUCUGAUUGCAAGACACUUGGUGAGGCUUUCACUUCAAGAUACUUAAUUGCCUGGUCUUCAGCUUUUCUAAGUUAAAAACAUCUCUUCCA